UCCUAGUUAACCUAGGCAGUCUCGCUAGAGUCCCCGGCCGAACCGUUGGCAACUAACGAUAAGGGUUGCGCUCGUUGCGGGACUUAACCCAACACCUCACGGCACGAGCUGACGACAGCCAUGCAGCACCUAUAUAGAGGUCCUUGCGGAAGACGUCCUUUCAGACGUGGUCCUCUACAUUUCGAGCCUGGGUAAGGUUCUUCGCGUUGCAUCGAAUUAAACCACAUGCUCCACUGCUUGUGCGGGUCCCCGUCAAUUCUUUUGAGUUUUAUCCUUGCGAACGUACUCCUCAGGCGGCAUACUUAACGCGUUAGCUUCGACACAGUCAGGGUUGAGCCUAACUACAUCUAGUAUGCAUCGUUUACAGCAAGGACUAC
rnacentral:misc_RNA from 1 species